UAAUAGGUUGGCAGAUUAGUGCAAAUAUUUUAGGAGUAUUAAAAGAUUAAAUUAAUCACCUAUUA
rnacentral:tRNA from 1 species